GAUGAAGAACGUAGCGAAAUGCGAUAAGUAGUGUGAAUUGCAGAAUUCAGUGAAUCAUCGAAUCUUUGAACGCACAUUGCGCUCCUUGGUAUUCCGAGGAGCAUGCCUGUUCGAGCGUCAUUUGUACCCUCAAGCUUUGCUUGGUGUUGGGCGCUUGUCCCCUAUUUAUUUGGGGGACUCGCCUUAAAAUUAUUGGCAGUCAGUGUUUUUGGCAAAGGAGCGCAGCACAAGUCGCGCUUCUAGCCCAGCUCACUUGCGUCCAUAAGCCUAUUUCUCACUUUUGACCUCGGAUCAGGUAGGGAUACCCGCUGAACUUAAGCAUAUCAAUAAGCGGAGGA
rnacentral:misc_RNA from 1 species